rnacentral:rRNA from 1 species
GGGAUAACCUCGGGAAACUGAGAAUAAUACUCCAUAGAUCUAGGAUGCUGGAAUGCUUUUAGGUCGAAAACUCCGGUGCCUUAGGAUUGGUCUGCGGCGUAUCAGGUUGUAGUGGGUGUAACGGACCCACUAGCCGAUGACGCGUAUGGGCCUUGAGAGAGGAAGCCCAGAGAUGGACUCUGAGACAUGAGUCCAGGCCCUACGGGGCGCAGCAGUCGCGAAAACUUCACAAUGGGGGCAACCCCGAUGAGGGAAUUCCAAGUGCUAGCACUUUUUGUGUUAGCUGUUCUUUUGUCUAAAAAACAAGAGAAGUAAGGGCCGGGUAAGACGGGUGCCAGCCGCCGCGGUAAUACCCGCGGCCCGAGUGGUGGUCGAUAUUAUUGAGCCUAAAACGUUCGUAGCCGGUCUUGUAAAUCCUUGGGUAAAUCGGCCAGCUUAACUGUCCGAAGUCCGGGGAGACUGCAAGACUUGGGAUCGGGAGAGGUCAGAGGUACUUCUGGGGUAGGGGUAAAAUCCUGUAAUCCUAGAAGGACCACCGGUGACGAAGGCGUCUGACUAGAACGAAUUCGACGGUGAGGAACGAAGCCCUGGGCGCAAACGGGAUUAGAUACCCCGGUAGUCCAGGGUGUAAACGCUGCGGGCUUGGUGUUGGGGGUCCUUAGUGGGCGCCCAGUGCCGGAGAGAAGUUGUUAAGCCUGCUGCUUGGGGAGUACGUCCGCAAGGAUGAAACUUAAAGGAAUUGGCGGGGGAGCACCGCAACGGGAGGAGCGUGCGGUUCAAUUGGAUUCAACGCCGGACAACUCACCAGGAGCGACGAUUACAUGAAGGCCAGGUUGAUGACCUUGCCUGAUUUUUCGAGAGGUGGUGCAUGGCCGUCGUCAGUUCGUACUGUAAAGCGUUCUCUUAAGUGAGAUAACGAACGAGACCCUCACUAAUAAUUGCUAGCGUUUUCUCUGGAAGGCGCGCACAUUAUUGGGACCGCUGUCGCUAAGACAGAGGAAGGAGAGGUCAACGGUAGGUCCGUAUGCCCCGAAUCUCCUGGGCUACACGCGCGCUACAAAGGACGGGACAAUGGGUUCCGAUAUCGAAAGGUAAAGGCAAUCCCGAAACCCGUUCGUAGUUCGGAUCGUGGGCUGUAACUCGC